rnacentral:rRNA from 1 species
UGAACGCUGGAGGAGUGACUAACACAGGAAAGUCGAACGAUGAUAGAGAGCUUGCUCUCUUGAUUAGUGGCGCACGGGUGAGUAUACCAUAGAUAAUGUACCUCUUAGUUCGGGAUAGCCACUGGAAAUGGUGAUUAAUACCGGAUACUCCUUCUUACUCUAAGGUAAGUCGGGAAAGUUUUUUCGCUAAGAGAUCAGUCUAUGUCCUAUCAGCUAGUUGGUGAGGUAAUGGCUCACCAAGGCUAUGACGGGUAUCUGGUUUGAGAGGAUGAUCAGACACACUGGAACUGAGACACGGUCCAGACUCCUACGGGAGGCAGCAGUGAGGAAUAUUGCACAAUGGAGGAAACUCUGAUGCAGCAACGCCGCGUGGAGGAUGACGCAUUUCGGUGUGUAAACUCCUUUUAAGAGGGAAGAUAAUGACGGUACCUCUUGAAUACGCACCGGCUCACUCCGU